rfam:Paenibacillus sp. 32O-W, complete genome.
CAGCCGGUGAAAAUCCGGUCGCGGGAGGGGCCAAGCCCCCGCGCAGCUCGGAUACCUGCGUAUGGCGAAAUUCUGUGCGUAGAAGCGUAUCGACAAAAAGUACCUGUCAAAGACAGAGCAAGCAACUUGUCAGACCGUAACAUGA